UGCCUGAUGGAGGGGGAUAACUACUGGAAACGGUAGCUAAUACCGCAUAACGUCGCAAGACCAAAGAGGGGGACCUUCGGGCCUCUUGCCAUCGGAUGUGCCCAGAUGGGAUUAGCUAGUAGGUGGGGUAACGGCUCACCUAGGCGACGAUCCCUAGCUGGUCUGAGAGGAUGACCAGCCACACUGGAACUGAGACACGGUCCAGACUCCUACGGGAGGCAGCAGUGGGGAAUAUUGCACAAUGGGCGCAAGCCUGAUGCAGCCAUGCCGCGUGUAUGAAGAAGGCCUUCGGGUUGUAAAGUACUUUCAGCGGGGAGGAAGGGAGUAAAGUUAAUACCUUUGCUCAUUGACGUUACCCGCAGAAGAAGCACCGGCUAACUCCGUGCCAGCAGCCGCGGUAAUACGGAGGGUGCAAGCGUUAAUCGGAAUUACUGGGCGUAAAGCGCACGCAGGCGGAUUGUUAAGUCAGAUG
rnacentral:rRNA from 1 species